AUUGAACGCUGGCGGCAGGCCUAACACAUGCAAGUCGAGCGGAUGAGAAGAGCUUGCUCUUCGAUUCAGCGGCGGACGGGUGUGUAAUGCCUAGGAAUCUGCCUGGUAGUGGGGGACAACGUUUCGAAAGGAACGCUAAUACCGCAUACGUCCUACGGGAGAAAGCAGGGGACCUUCGGGCCUUGCGCUAUCAGAUGAGCCUAGGUCGGAUUAGCUAGUUGGUGAGGUAAUUGCUCACCAAGGCGACGAUCCGUAGCUGGUCUGAGAGGAUGAGCAGUCACACUGGAACUGAGACACGGUCCAGACUCUUACGGGAGGCAGCAGUGGGGAAUAUUGGACAAUGGGCGAAAGCCUGAUCCAGCCAUGCCGCGUGUGUGAAGAAGGUCUUCGGAUUGUAAAGCACUUUAAGUUGGGAGGAAGGGCAGUAAGUUAAUACCUUGCUGUUUUGACGUUACCGACAGAAUAAGCACCGGCUAACUCUGUGCCAGCCGCCGCAGUAAUAC
rnacentral:rRNA from 1 species